CUGGGCGAGGUGAAGGUAAUAACCGGAUCCGUGCUCGGUCCCGUGCCUUGGCCUCCCGCGGAUCUGCCUCGCUGCGAGGCUUCCGUGACGGCUUGCCGACGCGGUCGUCCUCUUCGGCCGCUAUUUAACGGUCAGCUCAGAACUGGCACGGACUGGGGGAAUCCGACUGUCUAAUUAAAACAAAGCAUUGCGAUGGCCCUAGCGGGUGUUGACGCAAUGUGAUUUCUGCCCAGUGCUCUGAAUGUCAACGUGAAGAAAUUCAAGCAAGCGCGGGUAAACGGCGGGAGUAACUAUGACUCUCUUAAUCGAUCGGAUCUUCGGAUCGAUGAUGCGAACACACAGCCUAUCUCGAUCAAGUCUGGCACCACCUUCUCGUGGUUUCCGCUGACAAUCUCAACCGAGGCAGCCCGGUGAGAGCAAACGGUGUCCAGUCGAACGUGCGUGCACCCCAAUGGGGUAGCGUCGGUGCUUUUGUACGGCUACUCAAAACCUAUGUCCUACGGUGAGUUGUGGGGUCAAGAAAGGACGGGUUGCUUCGGGGGCUCUCGGUUGUCAAUCCGUUAGUCCCCAACACGCAGCAAAUAUGGAAAAGACAAACAAGAGAAUGUAUCCACGCCCGGGUUCUCGGAUGGCUCGGGCACUGCGUGUUAGUGAGAGCGAGUGUGUUGUGCCUGGUAGUAGUGGGCCGGCCAAUGCACAGGUGGAGGAAGUUCCCACGAGUGCUCAUAGCGUAGGCAGAACAACUGCCAAUGAACUGUUUCGUUGCGAACAUUGCGACAGGGAGUUCAAUACCAAGCGUGGGCUUGGUGUGCACGUUAGAUUUGCACAUAAAGAAGCUGCCAACGACCUGAUCGACGUAGAAAGGGUUAGACCCCGUUGGCCUGAGGAGGAGGUGCGACUGAUGGCGCGGGCUGAGGCUACGGCCACCUUAGCGGGGGUUCGGUACAUGAAUCAACACCUUUCUGUACUGUUCCCUAAUAGGUCUCUUGAAGGCAUCAAGGGUAAACGGCGCAAUGCUGCUUACCAAGCGAUGGUUCUUGAGUUCCGCCAACAGGAAUUAGAUUCAAAUUCUGAUUCUGAUGACGGCUUGGUGGCGGAUGCGACAAUGACACGAGUCGCCCGCACACCUGACCGGCCUUCAGUUGCCAUCGAACAACAAACACCCCAGUCUCCAAUACUCCAUGACCAAGAUGGUCUUGGAAGAGUGCGCUUAGCGAUCGCGACUUUGUUAGAGUCAACUGCGCGCUAUCGUAUCUAUGAGGCUGGCACUCUGCGGGAAGUCGCACGAGAUGCUCUGGCGGGGGAGAGAGUAGUUGACCGAUUGAAUGAUUGGCUCGCUGCGAUCUUCCCUGCUGGUCGGGUGAACCCUCCCAGACCCAAUCGAAAUCGAUCAGUGCGUCCUCCGGCAAAUGAGAAUAGGGAGCAAAGACGCAAGAGAGAGUUCGCAGCAAUGCAGAACCUCUAUCGAACUAACUUGCGUGCCUGUCUCGGUAAUAUACUCGAUGGAGACAUAACGCGGGAAAGGCCUUCUGGCAUCAGUUUUGCGCAGUACUGGCAGCCUCUUAUUGAGACGGUCAGUGCAGCUGAUGGCCAUAUGGAGGACCUCCGCCGGUCUGCCACUGGGUCGAGACAGAGUUUGAUCAGAGCCAGGUUGAGCAAUGGCCCUUCUACAUCAGGGUACGGCGUUGGGGCCGGCGUAAGCCGUGCCGCUGAUAAGUCCUCGCUCUGGGAUCCGAUCACGACAACCGAGGUUGUCCGGAUUCCUGUUAAAACUGGCUCUGCCCCUGGAUUGGACAAAAUAACACCUAGGGCCUGGAAAGCCGUUCCGGCGGAUCUACGGGCCCUAUUGUUCAAUCUAAUGCUCCUUGCAAGAGAGGUCCCUUCGUCGAUCUCCUCUUCCAGGACGGUCUUUCUGGAGAAAGGUAGUAUGCCAGAACAUCCGGCACCUUCUGACUACCGGCCUCUAAGUAUAGGCUCUGUCGUGUUGAGGCAGUUUCACAAGAUUUUAGGCAGGAGGUUGGCUGCUCUUGACAUAUUCGAUGAGAGGCAAAGAGGCUUUCGGCCCGUCGAUGGCGUCUGCGAAAACGUAGAAGUGCUGUCUGCGGUGCUGGCGGACGCUCGGCGCCGAUGUCGAACGGUACAUAUGGCGUGCGUUGACCUGUCGAAGGCAUUCGACACGGUCUCGCACGGUGCGAUCCAUCUUGCACUGGAGGAGGCGGGUCUCCCGCUCUCCUUCAGAGAGUACAUUAGAGCAUGCUACUCCAAUGCUACGACAGCGCUUCAGCUGCCGGAUCUUUGUGAGACGCCAAGAAUACAGCUGGGUAGAGGCGUGAAGCAAGGCGAUCCUCUGUCGCCCCUACUGUUCAAUCUGGUCGUAGACCGAGCUUUAGGGGUUCUCUCGGAGGAUGUUGGAUAUCGGCUCAAUGGCGAACUAAUUGGCGCCCUGGCUUACGCUGACGACAUUGUACUCCUAGCGUCGACCCGUAACGGUCUGCAGGAG
rnacentral:rRNA from 1 species